GACGAACGCUGGCGGCGUGCUUAACACAUGCAAGUCGAACGGAAAGGCCCUGCUUUUGUGGGGUGCUCGAGUGGCGAACGGGUGAGUAACACGUGAGUAACCUGCCCUUGACUUUGGGAUAACUUCAGGAAACUGGGGCUAAUACCGGAUAGGAGCUCCUGCUGCAUGGUGGGGGUUGGAAAGUUUCGGCGGUUGGGGCUGGACUCGCGGCUUAUCAGCUUGUUGGUGGGGUAGUGGCUUACCAAGGCUUUGACGGGUAGCCGGCCUGAGAGGGUGACCGGCCACAAUGGGACUGAGAUACGGACCAGACUCCUACGGGAGGCAGCGGUGGGGAAUAUUGCAGAAUGGGCGGAAGCCUGAUGCAGCAACGCCGCGUGCGGGAUGACGGGCUUCGGGUUGUAAACCGCUUUCGCCUGUGACGAAGCGUGAGUGACGGUAAUGGGUAAAGAAGCACCGGCUAACUACGUG
rnacentral:rRNA from 1 species